UACGAAGGGGGCUAGCGUUACUCGGAUUGACUGGGCGUAAAGGGCUCGUAGGCGGCCAACUAAGUCAGACGUGAAAUCCCUCGGCUUAACCGGGGAACUGCGUCUGAUACUGGAUGGCUUGAGUUCGGGAGAGGGAUGCGGAAUUCCAGGUGUAGCGGUGAAAUGCGUAGAUAUCUGGAGGAACACCGGUGGCGAAGGCGGCAUCCUGGACCGAUACUGACGCUGAGGAGCGAAAGCCAGGGGAGCAAACGGG
rnacentral:rRNA from 1 species